GAAGGGCACAACGGGGGCAGGUAUAGUACCGGUGCCAUGCCAGUCUGUCCCUCGCAGGAAGGGCACAACGGGGGCAGGUAUAGUACCGGUGCCAGUCUGUCCCUCGCAGGAAGGGCACAACGGGGGCAGGUAUAGUACCGGUGCCAUGCCAGUCUGUCCCUCGCAGGAAGGGCACAACGGGGGCAGGUAUAGUACCGGUGCCAUGCCAGUCUGUCCCUCGCAGGAAGGGCACAACGGGGGCAGGUAUAGUACCGGUGCCGUGCCAGUCUGUCCCUCGCAGGAAGGGCACAACGGGGGCAGGUAUAGUACCGGUGCCGUGCCAGUCUGUCCCUCGCAGGAAGGGCACAAC